GCUGGCAGCCACGGGUGGCACCAAGCUGGUGAAGAGGGAAUAUUUGAAAGUUAAUGUGCCGCAAACAUGGUGGGUGUCAUGGUGAGAGGGAGGGAGGGGGGAAACAUGGAUGUGGGCGGGAGGAGAUCGGAUGGAUGGAGCCGGGAAUGAAGGGCAGGAGGGAUGGACAAGGGUAGGAUCUAGAGGAUGGGUGAGAGAAAGAGGGAUGGAUGGAGAGAAUGGAGGGAGGGAGAGAUGGAUGGAUGGAUGGGGAUGGACAGAGAGAUUAAGAGGAGGGUGGAUGGGGUAGAUGAAGGGAUGAAGAGGAGGGUGUAUGGAGAAAUGGAAGGAGGGAUGAAGAUGGUGGAUGGAUGGGGUAGAUGGAGGGAUGAAGGGGACGGUGGAGGAAAGGAAGAAGGGAUGAAGAUGGUAGAUGGAUGGGACAGAUGAAGGGAUGAAGAGGAGGGUGAUGGAGGAAUGGAAGGAGGGAUGAAGAGAGUGGAUGGAUGGGGUAGAUGGAGGGAUGAAGAGGACGGUGGAGGAAAGGAAGGAGGGAUGAAGAUGGUAGAUGGAUGGGACAGAUGAAGGGAUGAAGAGGAGGGUGAUGGAGGAAUGGAAGGAGGGAUGAAGAGAGUGGAUGAAGGGAUGAAGAGGACGAUGGAGGAAUGGAAGGAGGGAUGAAGAGGGUGGAUGGAGGGAUGAAGAGGACGAUGGAGGAAUGGAAGGAGGGAUGAAGAGGGUGGAUGGAGGGAUGAAGAGGAGGGUGGAUGGAAGAAUGGAAGGAGGGAUGAAGAUGGUAGAUGGAUAGAGGGAUGAAGAGGACGGUAGAGGAAAGGAAGGAUGAAGAUGAUGGAGAGAUGAAGAGGAAGAUGGAUAGAAGCACUGACUCUCUCUCUCGUUCCCCCCAUCGGCACGGGUCGGCGCAGCGAAGAAAUCCUGUCCUACAUUCUGGUGCAGGCCCCGCCGCCCACGCCCUCCGCCCCCCGGCCCCGCUUCUCCCUCUAUCUCUCUGCCCAACUGCAGUAUGGGGUGGUGCGGGUCUACAGCCGACAGUGCCACUACCUCAUCGAGGAGAUCCAGCACACCUUGGAGCGUCUAAGCCGGGCCCAGCAGCAGAUCCGCAUCGACAUGGGGGACCUUGAACAGUGAGUCAUGGGGAGGGGUCUGGGGCCCCCCAUAACUCCUGGGACACUCCUGAACCCCCACAGCACCUAGGAUAUGCCUGUAACCCCUCUCCCAGGUAGGGGCAUCAGUAUGGAGGUGGGAGGCCAAUUGGCAAGGGAGAGGCAUGGGGGGAGCAUAGCAGUGGUGAGGGGGUCAGUACGGAGGAGGAGAUUAG
rnacentral:lncRNA from 1 species